GACGAACGCUGGCGGCGCGCUUAACACAUGCAAGUCGAACGGAAAGGCCUGCUUUCCCUUGUGGAUUGCGGGUACUCGAGUGGCGAACGGGUGAGUAACACGUGAGUGAUCUGCCCCCAACUUGGGUAUAAGCCUGGGAAACUGGGUCUAAUUCCCGAUAGGACUGCAGGGUGGUGCCUGUGGUGGAAAACGAUUUUCUAGUGGUUGGGGAUGAGCUCGCGGCCUAUCAGCUUGUUGGUGGGGUAAUGGCCUACCAAGGCGGCGACGGGUAGCCGGCCUGAGAGGGUGGACGGCCGCAUUGGGACUGAGAUACGGCCCAGACUCCUACGGGAGGCAGCAGUGGGGAAUAUUGCACGAUGGGCGGAAGCCUGAUGCAGCGACGCCGCGUGGGGGAUGACGGCCUUCGGGUUGUAACCUCCUUUCGACCGCGAGGAAGCCACCUGGUUGGAAGGGUGGUGACGGUAGUGGUAGAAGAAGCACCGGCUAACUACGUG
rnacentral:rRNA from 1 species